rnacentral:misc_RNA from 1 species
UAAUAAGUGUUUUAUGGCACUUUUUGAAUCCAUAUCCACCUUGUGUGCAAUGUCAGUCGAUCUUCUUCAUGGAGAUCGACCAAACAUCAACCUUUAUCUUUUAACUCUUUGUCUGAAAAAUAUUAUGAAUAAAACAAUUCAAAAUA